rnacentral:rRNA from 1 species
CCUACGGGAGACAGCAGUGAGGAAUAUUGGUCAAUGGGCGAGAGCCUGAACCAGCCAAGUCGCGUGGGGGAGUACUGCCCUAUGGGUUGUAAACCUCUUUUGUCGGGGAGCAAAAGCCGGACGUGUCCGGCUGUGAGAGUACCCGAAGAAAAAGCAUCGGCUAACUCCGUGCCAGCAGCCGCGGUAAUACGGAGGAUGCGAGCGUUAUCCGGGUUUAUUGGGUUUAAAGGGUGCGCAGGCGGAUUUUUAAGUCAGCGGUAAAAUCGUGGGGCUCAACCCCAUCCAGCCGUUGAAACUGGGGAUCUAGAGUGUGCGAGAGGUAUGCGGAAUGCGUGGUGUAGCGGUGAAAUGCAUAGAUAUCACGCAGAACCCCGAUUGCGAAGGCAGCAUACCGGUGCACAACUGACGCUCAGGCACGAAAGCGUGGGUAUCGAACAGGAUUAGAUACCCGAGUAGUC